CCCUUAGAUGUUCUGGGCCGCACGCGCGCUACACUGACGGAUUCAACGAGCUUACAACCUUGGCCGAAAGGUCUGGGUAAUCUCCAAAAUCCGUCGUGAUGGGGAUAGAUUAUUGCAAUUAUUAAUCUUCAACGAGGAAUGCCUAGUAAGCGCAAGUCAUCAGCUUGCGUUGAUUACGUCCCUGCCCUUUGUACACACCGCCCGUCGCUCCUACCGAUUGAAUGGUCCGGUGAAGCGUUUGGACUAUGGUUUUCUGAUGGUCCGCCGUUGGAUUACCGUGAGAAGUUCGUUAAACCUUAUCAUUUAGAGGAAGGAGAAGUCGUAACA
rnacentral:rRNA from 1 species